UCAUCACCAGUAGUUUUGUUUUUUUUUUCGGUUUAUGACAGUGUUUUAAUAGCACAUGUGAAUUCUAUCGAAAGAAACAAGAUAGUCAUCUUGCCCAUAUUUCGGUUGAGAUCGAAUAAAUUAAUUUGAGUUGUUGAAAAUUUGAUAAUAUGAGUAACGAAGAGGAAAAUUUUGUGGGUUCUAUCAUAAGGAUGUCUGACGGAAGACCAAGACGGAAAACAAUAUCCAUAUUGUAUUUACUGGCAAUACAAAUAGUGAUGUUGAUAUUUGCUUAUUGGUACACAGACUUCUGUUCGAUCUCAGUAGACAGCUGGUUCUCGGAAAACCUACUCAUGUAUUAUAUACUUCCUGUAAUUUUCAUUUGUGCUCUUCACCAGAAAAGGUUCUUCAUAAUCCGUAUAGGUCUUUUAUAUUGUCUUUAUAUUCUUCUCUCCAGUAUCUAUAAUCAUACGAGAUCGCAAUAGUAAUCACAACAUCAGUUUAUUCAUCAUAUUUUAUAAAUGUGAGCUUAAGUUGUCAUGUUAUUUUUAAUUUUCAUGGAAGUGAACUUUUUAAGUGGACAGAUGAGAUGAUUCAAAUCUCAGGAAAAUUAAUGUAUAAAUAAAAAAUGUAAUAAAAAGUU